rnacentral:snoRNA from 1 species
GGUGGCCUUUAUCAAAGUGGCAUCUGCUUCCACAUAGCUGCUGUGAUCAAAAAAAAGCCCAGAGGGAAAGUUAUCCUCAACGGUCACUGUUCUGUAACUGAUUCACAACACUGAAAUUGGAAAGGAGGGCU